GGCUGUUGGAAGUUAGUGAGUUAUCUCAAACGAUUGUUCAGUUACAGGUUAAAUUCCUUAUUCUACUCUUUCCCCUCUUCUCACCACUGUACUUGACCAGUACAAA
rnacentral:Y_RNA from 1 species